rnacentral:rRNA from 1 species
UACAGAGGGGGCAAGCGUUAUUCGGAAUUAUUGGGCGUAAAGGGCGCGUAGGCGGCUUUGCAAGUGGCGGGUGAAAUCCCUCGGCUCAACUGAGGAACGUCGAUCGAUACUGCUGUUCUUGAGGAUUGCAGAGGAGACUGGAAUUCCCGGUGUAGCGGUGAAAUGUGUAGAGAUCGGGAGGAACACCGGUGGCGAAGGCGGGUCUCUGGGCAAUUCCUGACGCUGAGGCGCGAAAGCGUGGGGAGCAAACGGG